rnacentral:lncRNA from 10 species
CUUUAGGAUAGUGGGCUAGAGAAGAACAAACCCUCGCUCACCAACACUACCAAGCUCCCAGGGUUCUCCAGCCUUGUGAUGUGGCCUCCUCGGCGCCUCACCACGAUGAGAAAAUGAAGACUCAGAGACGUGAAGCUACUUGGCAGAGAUCAAAUGGCUCAUAAAUGGUAACGCUGGCUUUAAGCCCAGGAACAUAAACGCGGUGUCUCCGUGUUUUUAGGAAUAAAUUGGGAAGUGCUCACUUAAUUUCACCAUCCAAGAAACAAAAUCACUUCUCCCUCCAUGCAAUCCUGCAAUCCAAUCACCUGCGGCAGGAGAUGAGGAAGGAAAUUACUCUGCUUUUCUUUUGCUUUUUUCCUAACUAGUGAUAUUUGAGAAAAUUAAGUAUGUUUUAUUUUACACUCAGGACCCAGAUCCUCAGACAUACUUGGGGACUGAAACAGGAGAAUGCCAGUUGGUUACAGAAGCAAAUAUUUCAUUGCAUCCUUCCCCAGCCCCUAUGAAUGUCUUCAUAAAUGAAAUAAUAGAUUUUGUUUUGACACUACCUUAAAUAUUUCCACUGAGGCAAGACU